UUUCAAGACCCCAGCCCUCCCGGCCACUUGUCUGCCUCGGGGCCUUGCCGUAAUGGCGAGGGUGGUGGCUACCACCACGUCGAUGCGGUCCACUGAGAAGGGAUUGAACUGCUUGUCCGGCCGGCGCAUGAACUCGUGCUUGAGGAGGCAGAAGACAAACUUUCAACUUGAAUAUAAGCAAACAAACAGAGCCCCAACAUGGUAAGAAGCAAAAACUGGUAGAACUGGAGGGAGAAGCAGGGGAUUCUACAGUAAUAAUGGGAAACACCCAAGGCAUAAAGACCAAAACAAAGAUAAAUCAGAUGUCGUCAGAAUUGGAAGCCUUUGUGUUCCAAAGAACCACAUCAAGAAAGUGAAACAUAGAAAAAGUAACCAUAGAAUGGUUAUUUGCAAAUUAGGUAUCUGAUAGAGAGAGCAGUACAGACAAACCCACCGAAAGAAGGGCAAUGGAUUGGAGUAGACAGCUCUGCACAGAAGCAACACAAAUGACCAGCAAGCACGUGACAGAUGUCAAUAUCACCAGUGAUUAGGGAAAUGCAAAUCAAAACCACAGCGAGAUCUCACUUUCCCCUCGCUGCCCCGGCUGAAACAGCAGGCAGAGAGCAACAAGUGUCGGCAGCGUGUGUGAACGCUGGGCCUCCCAUCCCACACUGCUGGGGUUGUAACACGAUGUGGUCGCCUGGCAGUUCCUCCAAAUGUUAAAUAUAGAGUCGCCACAUGACCCCAAAACUUCACCCCUAGAUGUGUAUCCGGGAGAACUGAAAACAUGUCCACACCGAAUGACGUCCACAAAUAGUCACAGCAGCUGUAUCCAGAACAGCCAGAGUGGAAAAAUCCCCAACUCUGACAAUGCAAAGGAAUGAAGUGCUAACCCAUGCCACGACAUGGAUGAGCUGUGACGACGUCACACUGACAGUGAAGCCUCAACUCAGACGGCAGUAACCCGUGGUCCCCUUUACGUGCAGUGUCUGGAACAGACACUUCUCUAGCAAUAAAACCCAGAGUAAGUUAGCAGUG